CCUACGGGAGGCAGCAGUGAGGAAUAUUGGUCAAUGGGCGCGAGCCUGAACCAGCCAAGUAGCGUGAAGGAUGACUGCCCUACGGGUUGUAAACUUCUUUUAUAAAGGAAUAAAGUUAGGCACGUGUGCCUUUUUGUAUGUACUUUAUGAAUAAGGCUCGGCUAACUCCGUGCCAGCAGCCGCGGUAAUACGGGGGAUACGAGCGUUAUCCGGAUUUAUUGGGUUUAAAGGGAGCGUAGAUGGGUUGUUAAGUCAGUUGUUAAAGUUUGCGGGUCAACCGUAAAAUUGCAAUUGAUACUGGCAGCCUUGAGUACAGGUGAGGUAGGCGGAAUGCGUGGUGUAGCGGGGAAAUGCAUAGAUAUCACGAAGAACUCCGAUUGCGAAGGCAGCUUACUAAACUGCCACUGACAUUGAUGCUCGAAAGUGUGGGUAUCAAACAGGAUUAGAUACCCGAGUAGUC
rnacentral:rRNA from 1 species